rnacentral:misc_RNA from 1 species
UUGAAAUUAUAGGUGACGGUUGUAGCUGGCCUUUCGGGGCAUGUGCACGCCGGAGCCCUUAAUCCACACACACCUGUGAACCCAAUGUAAGGGCCCGUAAAAAAGGCCUUUAUGUCUCAUCACCAACCUUUAUGUCUCAUAGAAUGUAAAUCUAUAUCCUCGCCUUGAAACAGCGUUGAUAAAACUUAUA